UACGUAGGGUGCGAGCGUUAAUCGGCUUUACUGGGCGUAAAGGGCGCGUAGGCGGUCAGCACAAGUCAGUUGUGAAAUCUCCGAGCUUAACUCGGAAAGGUCAACUGAUACUGUGCGACUAGAGUGCGGAAGGGGCAACUGGAAUUCUUGGUGUAGCGGUGAAAUGCGUAGAUAUCAAGAGGAACACCUGCGGCGAAGGUGGGUUGCUGGGCCGACACUGACGCUGAGGCGCGAAAGCCAGGGGAGCGAACGGG
rnacentral:rRNA from 1 species